AGUGAACGCUGGCGGUAGGCCUAACACAUGCAAGUCGAACGGCAGCACAGUAAGAGCUUGCUCUUACGGGUGGCGAGUGGCGGACGGGUGAGGAAUACAUCGGAAUCUACUUUUUCGUGGGGGAUAACGUAGGGAAACUUACGCUAAUACCGCAUACGACCUACGGGUGAAAGCAGGGGAUCUUCGGACCUUGCGCGAUUGAAUGAGCCGAUGUCGGAUUAGCUAGUUGGCGGGGUAAAGGCCACCAAGGCGACGAUCCGUAGCUGGUCUGAGAGGAUGAUCAGCCACACUGGAACUGAGACACGGUCCAGACUCCUACGGGAGGCAGCAGUGGGGAAUAUUGGACAAUUGGCGCAAGCCUGAUCCAGCCAUACCGCUUGGGUGAAGAAGGCCUUCGGGUUGUAAAGCCCUUUUGUUGGGAAAGAAAAGCAGCAGGUUAAUACCCCGCUGUUCUGACGGUACCCAAAGAAUAAGCACCGGCUAACUUCGUG
rnacentral:rRNA from 1 species